GUGCUUGCUUCAGUAGCGCAUAUACUAAAAUUGGAAUGAUACAGAGAAGACUAGCAUGGCCCCUGUGCAAAGACAACAUGCAAAUUCAUGAAGUUUUCAAAAAAUAA